rnacentral:lncRNA from 1 species
GAGCUUAACACAUGGGAUUUCUAAAUGACUAGCAUGCAUAUACAAUUCAAAAUUUAUAUACAUGAGCAACGGAAGCAAUUUAUCAAAUAAUAUCAAAGCAAUAGUCAUGCAAAUCCCCUUCAAGGUUCAUAGGUUUAUAUAUAAUGCAUCAAAACAUUUAACUUAAGAACAAAGUCAAGGAAUAGAUCUAUACCUCUUGAUCUUGAUUUUAGACCAAGGAUGGACCACCUCCAAGCCCUUUGCUCCUUGAAGUCCUUGAGCCUAGCCUCCCUCCUUGCCUCCUCCACUUUGUUAGUAAGAGUGCUCCAAGGUUCUCUCCAAGUUUCCAAAGUAGAAAACCUCUAAAGAUCCACACCCACUAGUGUAGUGAGAUGGAUGGAGGAAUAACCAAAAGGGUGAAAGAUGUGUUUAGUAAAAACACCCCCAAGGUGGCCGGCCUUUGUAGUGUUUUAGAGAGAUAUUUCUUUUGCCUCUUUGUUGUUUUAAACACACAAAAACCCUAAUGAACUUAGUGCUAUAAAGUUCCUUAUAUAGACAAAAGAAACCUAGUCAACAACUUGACUAAAUAUCUCUCCCAAACCCUUUAAGUGGCCGGCCCUAUAGUGUUUGGUUUGGGCUUUGG